AACGUCUAAAACCUUCAUUUAAAAUGAAAUUAUGUCUAUUUGAAUAUAAUAAAAAUAUUCAAUAAAAUAUUAUAUUUUUUUAUAAAACAAUAUUUAUAAAGUUACUGGUAAAUAAUUUUUGUAGCGUAAAAGCUAAAUAAAUUCAUACAUACUGUAAUACAGAUAACUAAAGUAUAAAAUUUAAUUUACAAUGACACAUGGGCCCCCAAAUGACAAAAGUGUACGAAGGCUGUGAACCUACGAUUUUUGAGGAAGUAAAGCCAACUGUAGCCUUUGACAAUAUCAGCUAUCUACAGCCUAUUCUGAGCCUGAAAUGGGUGGAAAGGAGCGUGGUAAGAUUAUAUAAUCCUAGUGAGUAAACAAACACCAUCCAAAAUAUCUAAAGUCGAGUAAAUUGAGACGAUUAAAAUAUUCCAUCUUAAUAUGUAAUUAAUAACAUAAAUAUUCAUUUCAUUUAAAUAAUCAUUAUGGCUUAUGAGUAUCUUAAAAGCUUGGCUCCUGCCAAAAUCAUUCUCAGGAAUACCUUGGCCGAGGCAUCUAACCGAGUUCGCCAAGGCUGUUAAAAAUUUUGUAUACAUGUAAACAUAUUUUUUGUUUGAAGAACACAGCCGUUCCUUGGCGUUAGCAGAGUUCAUCAUCACGAGGUGGUUUGGCGUGAUGUGAACUCUAACCAUAUCUCAGGAGAUACCUUACGAGCCUUUCCGACUAAGAUCCAUAUAUAACUGGAUUUCGUGCCCCUCUAAUAAGCUGGUCCAUAGAACCCGCCCAUUGCAGCAAGCUAAACCCACCAUAUAAUAAAAAUUCAACAGCAUGACAUGGCAAUUUUAUCAUUUUCCAGCCUAUCAAGACAAACAAUAGUUUAUACAUUUUCAACACAAAUACCAAUUCAACCAUUCAUGCCAAUAUUAUCAUAAGCCAUUCAAUUCAAACCAUGAUUUAUAACACAACAAUUAGUAUCUAAUUACUCCAUUUUCAAAACCAUCAUUCAAUUUCAAGACAAUUUAUAAAAUCAUUUCAUUUAAACACAUUUUGUUUAUAAAACCUAAAGAUUUACCAUUUAAACACAUUUUUCUAUAAAAUCACAAAAACGAAUAAAAACUACUUUAGAUAAUUAAGACGAUAGUAAGGUUACUCGCUAUUUCGGGAGUCAAAUUUUUAGAGUACUCCGACUAUCGAUCCUUGGGUACAAUUUCUUUGCCCUUAUCGGAGGAUUCACCACCUAGACAUAAUGCACAAUCAAGCAAUUUACCACAUUGGUGCUAAACCGUUAUAAAACUAUAUGGAUGCAUGAAACGGAAUGCAAAUUGUUCGGAUUAUCGUCUAAACACAGUGUUCUACACAAAUUCAAUUAUGUACCUAAAUAAAAUGGUAUUGGCCUAAUUUGAUCUAUCACUCGAUUAAUUGGCCAAUAUGCCCAAUUCAACUCCAAUUAACUCCAUUUAUCUUCCAAUUCUCCAAACCAUCAAACACAAGUCAAAUAGCAUAAAAUUUAGCAAAAUCAUCUUCACAUUUUCUCUUGGGAAUUUCGGCCAUGGUGGGUGCAUCAACACUAUGAUUUUUCCUACUUGAUUUUCUCACCGUAAUUCGUCAUUUCCUAACUAAUUCACUUGAAAUAAAAUCAAAUCCACCAUCCACACUCUACAUGGAAAAUUCGGCUAAUGAUGGGUAAUGGAAGAAAAUGAAUUUUUCUUGCUUGAUUUUCAUGCUACACAUCACUAACUAACUAAAAACACUAAAAUAUCUUAAAAUCUAACCAAAUCAAGCAUCAAAACUCCUCCCCCCAUGUCCGGCCAGCAAGGGAUUCAUCAUGAAAUCUUGAUUCUCAACCAUGAAAAAUGGAAAAAAAAUGCAUAGGAAAGGUAGAUCACAAGCUAGAAUUGAAAAAUCUUACAUUUUUUAACUUGUUUCCUUGAAUUUUCACACUUUUCCCUUGAAUUUUUCCACCUAGGGUUUUUGUUCUUCUUUUCUUCCUUUGUUCUUGUUUUGGCAGGC
rnacentral:lncRNA from 1 species